CAUAAUUAGUGUGCCAGUGAUCCACCACAACUAUGUGUCUUAAACCACAAGACAACAGGAUGCGGUCACACCUGCUGAAACAAAAAAAAAAAAGAAGUGGCACCCCCAAGUUCUGUUGCUUAGGUCCACCUCUUUAGGCUUUCUCAAAACUUGUUGCUGUGAACUUAAUUACAUGAACAUGAAACAUUUACAUAUUGUUUGUUAUACACUGUGAACUCCUGAUUCUCAUAACAGAUACUUUUUUUUUUAAAUGUGUGCUUUACAUAUGCAUAUGAAUUUUGUGUAUGUGCGUUUUAAAAGAAAUUAAUAUUUAUAUUCAGCAAAGACGCUUUAAAUUAAUCAGUAGUGACGUUAAUGACAUAUCAGUGAAAACAAUGACAAAAGAUUUCUAUUUCAAAUAGUUUUAUAUUUUAAAUGGGUUUACAUACAUUGCAGUUUAUGCAUUAUAACUUUAAGGGGAGGGGCUACUGAGACAUAUUAAUUGAGUUAGAAAAAAACACUUUAGUAACGGUAACAGGUGUUGCAGAUAUAUCAUCCUAAACAAUGGCACUCUUCGUUUUUAUUUUGUUUUCUCUAUCAGGCAGCAUUUCUGGAAAUGUCAUCACACCGGUCCACGGUGUAGUAUACGAAACAGAAAAGGACAUUAUAAUUCUGUCCUGUAACUACUCCUCAGCAGCGAGUCUAUAUUGGUAUCGCCAAUAUCCUGGAUUGGCUCCUGAAUUUCUUUUAGUCAUUCUUCAUGCUACCGGGAAAGUUUUGCAAAAGUCUAAAAUCGUGGAACUAGAUCCUCGAUUCUCUGGAAAACUGAAUAAAGAGAAAACCUACACGCAUCUUGAAGUUUCCUCUGCUAAAGUGACAGACUCAGCGAUGUACUACUGUGCCCUGGAGCCCACAGUGACAGGAAAGUAUGCAACACUGUACAAAAACCCCCAUCUACAUAAAGGCUAAAGCAUACCACAGAAUUGCAGAAACGUUUCAUUUAAAAGAAAUCCCCAAAUAAAAUGCUAAUUAAUGUUUC